rnacentral:rRNA from 1 species
UACGAAGGGGGCUAGCGUUGCUCGGAAUUACUGGGCGUAAAGCGCACGUAGGCGGCUUCUUAAGUCGGAGGUGAAAUCCUGGAGCUCAACUCCAGAACUGCCUUCGACACUGGGAAGCUCGAGUCCGGGAGAGGUGAGUGGAACUGCGAGUGUAGAGGUGAAAUUCGUAGAUAUUCGCAAGAACACCAGUGGCGAAGGCGGCUCACUGGCCCGGUACUGACGCUGAGGUGCGAAAGCGUGGGGAGCAAACAGG